UUCACAGCUCACAGUCCUUUAGAAUGGUGUUCAAGAGAGAUCACUUCUGAGCAAGCCUCAAGACCAGAGAGCAGAAGUAGACAAGGUGUGGAAUAGAGAUGCCCUGGCUGGUGGUGCU